rnacentral:sRNA from 1 species
AAGAGCGUGCCGGGAGCCCGAGCCCCAGCCGGGCCGCGCUUCGCCGCUGCGCACCCCAGCGGAGCCAAGCCCCACGCUGGCCGGACAGGGCCGCCUGUCGCCGGGCUGCUGAGAAUUAGCCCUAGACCUCUGCGUGAGGGUUCUUCUGCCGAAGACAUCACCAGUGUGUGGAGCCUGCCACACCCACCCGCUGCCAAACCACGGCCUUUACCUGUGUCUUCCGGUGUUUCCCGUGCGACCCAUCCUGUGGGAGUGCCUCGUGGGCUGCCCCAGAGUUCACCCCACACUCAGCAGCACCAAUGGUGAAGAUGACAAGAUCGAAGACUUUCCAGGCAUAUCUGCCCUCCUGCCACCGGACCUACAGCUGCAUUCACUGCAGAGCUCACUUGGCCAAUCAUGAUGAACUAAUUUCCAAGGUACACAUUUCCAGCAGGCCUUCCUUGCCUACCCCGGGGAGGGCGCUUAGUGCUCCUGAAGUUGCAGAGGUUUACAAGCUCUCAAGAAUAUUUGUACUCCAUCUUUGUACAGGGAGGGCUGACCCACGUGACCGUCUCACUCAACUGAGAAAAACUCUGAGUUGGAGGGACAGAGUAGUCAUUUAAUUUGUUAUUUUGGAAAUGAGGUGUCAUCCUUGUUGGAGGCUUUGGGAGCUGGCGGCUUGCAAGCCAGAGAAGGGAGGGGCUGGGGAUUGAUGGGAGCCUUGUUCUCAGCUUGCUUGGUUUAGGUUGGCGGACGAAGAGUGAAGAAUGCUCCCUGCUCAGAAGGUGAAUUCUAAGAAAGCAGGGGAAUGUCUUGUAAGAGGGGUUCCUUAGCAAGAUGAGAGAGCCACCAGGAAGUUGUGAGACUGUGGAAUUACUAAAAUGGGUGGCUUUUGGCAGGGACCAAAAGUGGCUUGUUGAAGAGCUGACCUUCUGGCCUGUGGGGGCCGUUAGGGCUUAUACAUGAGGUAAUAUGGCAUGACAUUUGAUCAUGAUCAGAAGAAUGGAACCCUGUUUUUCCUGAGGUGCUUAGGCAGCUGCUUUCUAAAGUUGGGGCUGGGGGAUUAUUAAUAAGUAAAUAAACCAACAUGCCAGUUGUGCAGUUCAGGAAAUGGAUCCUUCAGGGAGCGUUCUCAGGGGAACUGCUUCCCUCCUGGCCCUAGAUUCCCAGGGGAAGAGAAACAGGUUUUACUAGGCUGCAUGACAAAGAGAAAGAGAUAAUGGGAGACUUUUCCCUUACAAAAGCAUCUUUACCCAGAACCUGGACUUCACGCCAUUAAAGUAAAAAAAAAAAAAAAACAACCCAUCUUUACGCAGACCCAGACGAAGUUUUUUGUUUUGUUUUUAAAUGUGUUCCUCAUCUGUUUACAAGACCUGCUGGAAAAGGUGGCUGUUGCUUUCUUUGCCUCUGGUUUGGUAGCCCCAGCCAGAGAGGAAUGAAGGAUCUAGUCAGCUCUUAUAGAACAGUCCUCUCCAGCUGGCUGAUUUGACCUAGGAGGUGAAGAAAGCUGCCCAAACAAACACAUCUGUAGUAGUGAGGCUUUUCAAAUCGGGCCUGAGGACCGAACCUCUUGUUCUAGCCUUACUCCAGGGUCUAAGGUGACCACAGAGCUUGAAGCGUACAGCCCCUUAGAGUCCUAUCCUCUGGCCAGACUUGUGAAUCUGCCCCACUUUCCUUUCUUUAUGGUUCUGCUAAUUCCUCUCCUUUAUGCUGCUUAUGUUUCAGCCAGCCUUUAGCUUCCUUCUCAGCUUCACUUCGAAUUUUGGGGAACCCCUUGAGUCUGGAAGUUUGAAUGUGUGGAGGUGUCAGUGAGAGAAGAGAGGAGUUGGUCUCUUGGACGUUGGAAUUGGGUUUGCAAAGUUGUAGGGGAAUUGUGAGUUGUCCUUUUUUUUUUUUUUUUUUCCCCCUUUGGAAAUCUCCAGAGAAAUUAUUUGCCUGUAUCUACUGGGGAAGCCAAGGCAUCAUUUUUUUAAUACAAGGAAGCAGUGCUAUGUAUCAUAAGAAAUUGAGGUACCAAUAAGGUUUUAGCACCCUCUAUGUACUAAAAACUGCAACUUGACACUUUAUCAAUGUUAACUUAACCUUCAUAUGAAGUCUUUAAGGUAGCUGACAUGAGUCAUACUUUAUGCGGAUGAAGAAGCUGAAACUCAUAAAACUUGUCCAAGAUGUCAAAUCAGAGGUUCAGAGAAGAGUGAUUACUUUGAGUGGGUGUUCAGGAGGGAUUGCUGGAGGAGAUGGUUCUUUGAUCUGGGCCUUGUAAGAUGGGCAGAAGUUGAGUAUGUGGAGAUGGUAAUGGCCUUCAGAAUUUAUGUCUUAUCUCUUUGGCCUGGCAUACAAGGCCUUUGACAAUUUGGCAGAGUCUGGCUUUUUUGUUAGGUCUCCAGCCAGCUCUUCACUUUGUUUCAGCCACUCAGAACCAAGCCACAUCGCCUGAAUAUGCAGGUAUGGGUGUUUCAGGGCUCUGUGCCUUAGCCAAGAGUGUCCGUUCUCCUUCACCUCCCUCCUCCUACACCUCCCUCCUCUUUCUCCUGAGCUCUUUCUUAUACGUCCUUGGGCAUGGCCUAUAUCUGCUUUACAUCUCGGGGUCAGAACCUGACCCAUGGCAAGAGCUCAGUAAAUGAUAAAUGAAUAGAUGGAGGUUGAGCCUUGGAGAAGACAAGUAAUGAGAAAAAAAAUACUUUGUUGGCCUCAUGUCCUUCCUGUCCCUUUUGGGGCAGAAAGGCUCAUUCACAAGUCCAGGCCAAAGUCAGCACAGGCUUCAGUUUCAUUGGCUCAGGCCGGUACACAGAUGGGGUGCAUUAGAGCUUGAUGAUUUAAAGGGUUGGGUGAAAUGCCUGACUGUGGGGAGAGCUGAGGGAGCUGUGGCUGGCAUUGCACAAAGCUUCCUUUAUUUCACUCCACAGCCACCCCCGGCGUUAAAUAAUCUAUAGAUUCUUAUGCAGGUCUGCCUAAUGGAAAGAUCAUUGCCCCAGCCUCCUCCUUGGAAAAUAGGCCUUUCUUUUCAUUUUUCCCCCCCUCUUCCAUUUAAGAAAGUUCAAGGAGAGAAUGUCUCUCCUGUUCUCCUCUCUUGACUUAAUCUCCUAUGCAGUUUCAGAAUCUGCCCAGUGGGAGUUAGGAGCUGGGAAGCAGAUAACUGGAGCUGGAUCAGCAGUGUAAUUAAAUGAUACUUUGUACUGGUAAUAGGGCCUUUCAUCUGAAAGCUUGACAUUCGUUUGGUGC